AUCAUACUAACUCCGUCCGAAAUUAUUUGUCAUAGGAAUAGAUCUCUUUAGAGUUAUUUUUGUUCUAGAUACAUUCAUUUUGAUGCAUUUUUGUGACAAGUAAUUCCGGACGGACGGAGUAUGAA
rnacentral:pre_miRNA from 1 species